rnacentral:rRNA from 1 species
CCUACGGGUGGCAGCAGUGAGGAAUAUUGGUCAAUGGACGAGAGUCUGAACCAGUCAAGUAGCGUGAAGGAUGACUGCCCUAUGGGUUGUAAACUUCUUUUAUAUGGGAAUAAAAUGUUCCACGUGUGGGGUUUUGUAUGUACCAUAUGAAUAAGGAUCGGCUAACUCCGUGCCAUCAGCCGCGGUAAUACGGAGGAUCCGCGCGUUAUCCGGAUUUAUUGGGUUUAAAGGGAGCGUAGGUGGAUUGUUAAGUCAGUUGUGAAAGUUUGCGGCUCAACCGUAAAAUUGCAGUUGAAACUGGCAGUCUUGAGUACAGUAGAGGUGGGCGGAAUUCGUGGUGUAGCGGUGAAAUGCUUAGAUAUCACGAAGAACUCCGAUUGCGAAGGCAGCUCACUGGACUGCAACUGACGCUGAGGCUCGAAAGUGUGGGUAUCAAACAGGAUUAGAUACCCCAGUAGUC